rnacentral:piRNA from 1 species
UAAGAAUUUGUUCUAUAGCUCUUGUGAUA